rnacentral:rRNA from 1 species
AUUGAACGCUGGCGGCAGGCCUAACACAUGCAAGUCGAGCGGAUGAAGGGAGCUUGCUCCUGGAUUCAGCGGCGGACGGGUGAGUAACGCCUAGGAAUCUGCCUGGUAGUGGGGGAUAACGUCCGGAAACGGGCGCUAAUACCGCAUACGUCCUGAGGGAGAAAGUGGGGGAUCUUCGGACCUCACGCUAUCAGAUGAGCCUAGGUCGGAUUAGCUAGUUGGUGGGGUAAAGGCCUACCAAGGCGACGAUCCGUAACUGGUCUGAGAGGAUGAUCAGUCACACUGGAACUGAGACACGGUCCAGACUCCUACGGGAGGCAGCAGUGGGGAAUAUUGGACAAUGGGCGAAAGCCUGAUCCAGCCAUGCCGCGUGUGUGAAGAAGGUCUUCGGAUUGUAAAGCACUUUAAGUUGGGAGGAAGGGCAGUAAGUUAAUACCUUGCUGUUUUGACGUUACCAACAGAAUAAGCACCGGCUAACUACGUG